rnacentral:rRNA from 1 species
UACGGAGGGUGCAAGCGUUAAUCGGAAUUACUGGGCGUAAAGCGUGCGCAGGCGGCUUUGCAAGACAGGUGUGAAAUCCCCGGGCUUAACCUGGGAACUGCAUUUGUGACUGCAUGGCUGGAGUGCGGCAGAGGGGGAUGGAAUUCCGCGUGUAGCAGUGAAAUGCGUAGAUAUGCGGAGGAACACCGAUGGCGAAGGCAAUCCCCUGGGCCUGCACUGACGCUCAUGCACGAAAGCGUGGGGAGCAAACAGG